rnacentral:rRNA from 1 species
GACAGAGGUCCCGAGCGUUAGGCGGAAUCACUGGGCUUAAAGCGUGUGUAGGCGGAUUGGUAAGUACCUUGUGAAAUCCCACGGCUUAACCGUGGAACUGCUUGGUAUACUGCUUAUCUUGGGCCACUUAGGGGCUACCGGAACAAACGGUGGAGCGGUGAAAUGCGUAGAUAUCAUUUGGAACGCCAAUGGUGAAAACAGCUCGCUGGGGGUUUGCUGACGCUGAGACACGAAAGCCAGGGGAGCAAACGGG